UACGUAGGGGCCGAGCGUUGUCCGGAGUUACUGGGCGUAAAGCGCGCGCAGGCGGCGCAUCGCGCCCGGCGUGAAAGCCCCCGGCUCAACCGGGGAGGGUCGUCGGGGACGGGUGCGCUUGAGGACGGCAGGGGCAGGUGGAAUUCCCGGUGUAGUGGUGAAAUGCGUAGAGAUCGGGAGGAACACCCGUGGCGAAGGCGGCCUGCUGGGCCGAUCCUGACGCUGAGGCGCGAAGGCGUGGGGAGCGAACGGGAUUAGAUACCCCGGUAGUCCACGCAGUAAACGAUGCCGACUAGGCGUGGGGGGAGUUGACCCCCUCCGUGCCGGAGCCAACGCGGUAAGUCGGCCGCCUGGGGAGUACGGCCGCAAGGCUAAA
rnacentral:rRNA from 1 species